rnacentral:rRNA from 1 species
GAUGAACGCUAGCGGGAGGCCUAACACAUGCAAGCCGAGCGGUAUUGUUUCUUCGGAAAUGAGAGAGCGGCGUACGGGUGCGUAACACGUGUGCAACCUGCCUUUAUCUGGGGGAUAGCCUUUCGAAAGGAAGAUUAAUACUCCAUAAUAUAUUGAACGGCAUCGUUUAAUAUUGAAAGCUCCGGCGGAUAGAGAUGGGCACGCGCAAGAUUAGCUAGUUGGUGAGGUAACGGCUCACCAAGGCGAUGAUCUUUAGGGGGCCUGAGAGGGUGAUCCCCCACACUGGUACUGAGACACGGACCAGACUCCUACGGGAGGCAGCAGUGAGGAAUAUUGGUCAAUGGGUGCAAGCCUGAACCAGCCAUCCCGCGUGAAGGACGACUGCCCUAUGGGUUGUAAACUUCUUUUGUAUAGGGAUAAACCUACCCUCGUGAGGGUAGCUGAAGGUACUAUACGAAUAAGCACCGGCUAACUCCGUGCCAGCAGCCGCGAUAACAC